UACGGAGGGUGCGAGCGUUGUCCGGAAUCAUUGGGCGUAAAGGGCGCGUAGGUGGCCCGGUCAGCGUGCGGUGAAAGCUCGGGGCUCAACCCCGAGUCGGCCGUGCGAACUGCUGGGCUCGAGCACUGUAGAGGCAGGCGGAAUUCCGGGUGUAGCGGUGGAAUGCGCAGAUAUCAGGAAGAACGACCGGUGGCGAAGGCGGCUCUCUGGGCCUUACCUGACGCUGAGGAGCGAAAGCGUGGGUAGCGAACAGG
rnacentral:rRNA from 1 species